rnacentral:tRNA from 1 species
CAGAGUGUAGCUUAAUCAAAGCAUCUGGCCUACACCCAGAAGACUCCAUACACAUAUGGCCACUCUGA